rnacentral:rRNA from 1 species
UACGGAGGGUGCAAGCGUUAUCCGGAUUCACUGGGUUUAAAGGGUGCGUAGGUGGCUUGGUAAGUCAGUGGUGAAAGCCCGGAGCUCAACUCCGGAACUGCCAUUGAUACUGCUUAGCUUGAAUCAGGUCGAGGUGGAUGGAAUAUUACAUGUAGCGGUGAAAUGCUUAGAUAUGUAAUAGAACACCGAUUGCGAAGGCAGUUCACUAGGCCUGUAUUGACACUGAGGCACGAAAGCGUGGGGAGCAAACAGG